UACGUAGGGACCAAGCGUUGUUCGGAUUUACUGGGCGUAAAGGGCGCGUAGGCGUCGCGGUAAGUCACUUGUGAAAUCUCUGAGCUUAACUCAGAACGGCCAAGUGAUACUGCAGUGCUAGAGUGUGGAAGGGGCAAUCGGAAUUCUUGGUGUAGCGGUGAAAUGCGUAGAUAUCAAGAGGAACACCUGAGGUGAAGACGGGUUGCUGGGCCAACACUGACGCUGAUGCGCGAAAGCCAGGGGAGCAAACGGG
rnacentral:rRNA from 1 species